CUUCGUCUUAAGUGCGUCCCAUACUACCAUAUUCUUGGCGUGUGCAAAUCAGGAACCACCGACCUCGCCUACCGCAUAAGGGCCCAUGAAGACGUCCUACAGUGCAACAAUUGUCUUGGGAGGAAGGAAACGUUCUACUGGUGCCGUAGAAGAUAUGGUUAUGAAUUUUCCAUGAAAAGAAGGACACCGUGCAACUUCAGCUGCUUUCAAGAUAUGUUUGCUGAAGCCACACCACGGAUUGAAGAGACAACUACAGAAACAGGCUACCACAACAUGAUUACAGUUGACGGAACUCCGUCAGAUUUUAGCGAUUUCCGAGCAUGGCCCCAAAUACCUCAAAAUGCAGGCUUAGAGAAACCAUUGGUUCUGACACCCCAUCUUAUGAGGCACGUGUAUACAGAUC